AACCUUAUGGACCUGCGGGCGUAUACCUGCGGAAGGAUCAUUACAUUCAGUAGCCUAGCUACUUGUUUACACCCUUGUUUUUUUGCGCACUUCACUGUAUCCCUCGGCGGGCUUGCUCGCCGGUUGGACAACAUUUAUAACCUUUUUUAAUCUUCAAUCAGCGUCUGAAUUAUAUUUAAUAAUUACAACUUUUAACAAUGGAUCU
rnacentral:misc_RNA from 1 species